ACCGGGGUUGCGGACAGUGUCUGGUGGGUAGUUUGACUGGGGCGGUCUCCUCCCAAAGCGUAACGGAGGAGCACGAAGGUUAGCUAAUCCUGGUCGGACAUCAGGAGGUUAGUGCAAUGGCAUAAGCUAGCUUGACUGCGAGCGUGACGGCGCGAGCAGGUGCGAAAGCAGGUCAUAGUGAUCCGGUGGUUCUGAAUGGAAGGGCCAUCGCUCAACGGAUAAAAGGUACUCCGGGGAUAACAGGCUGAUACCGCCCAAGAGUUCAUAUCGACGGCGGUGUUUGGCACCUCGAUGUCGGCUCAUCACAUCCUGGGGCUGAAGUAGGUCCCAAGGGUAUGGCUGUUCGCCAUUUAAAGUGGUACGCGAGCUGGGUUUAGAACGUCGUGAGACAGUUCGGUCCCUAUCUGCCGUGGGCGCUGGAGAAUUGAGGGGGGCUGCUCCUAGUACGAGAGGACCGGAGUGGACGCAUCACUGGUGUUCGGGUUGUCAUGCCAAUGGCACUGCCCGGUAGCUAAAUGCGGAAGAGAUAAGUGCUGAAAGCAUCUAAGCACGAAACUUGCCCCGAGAUGAGUUCUCCCUGAGACU
rnacentral:rRNA from 1 species